CAUUAUACCGUGAAACUGCGAAUGGCUCAUUAAAUCAGUUAUCGUUUAUUUGAUAGUACCUUACUACUUGGAUAACCGUGGUAAUUCUAGAGCUAAUACAUGCUAAAAACCCCAACUUCGGGAGGGGUGUAUUUAUUAGAUAAAAAACCAACGCCCUUCGGGGCUUCUUGGUGAUUCAUGAUAACUUUACGGAUCGCAUGGCCUUGCGCCGGCGACGGUUCAUUCAAAUUUCUGCCCUAUCAACUUUCGAUGGUAAGGUAUUGGCUUACCAUGGUUUCAACGGGUAACGGGGAAUUAGGGUUCGAUUCCGGAGAGGGAGCCUGAGAAACGGCUACCACAUCCAAGGAAGGCAGCAGGCGCGCAAAUUACCCAAUCCCGACACGGGGAGGUAGUGACAAUAAAUACUGAUACAGGGCUCUUUUGGGUCUUGUAAUUGGAAUGAGUACAAUUUAAACCUCUUAACGAGGAACAAUUGGAGGGCAAGUCUGGUGCCAGCAGCCGCGGUAAUUCCAGCUCCAAUAGCGUAUAUUAAAGUUGUUGCAGUUAAAAAGCUCGUAGUUGAAUUUUGGGUCUGGCUGGCAGGUCCGCCUCACCGCGUGUACUUGUCCGGCCGGGCCUUCCUUCUGGAGAACCUCAUGCCCUUCACUGGGCGUGUUGGGGACCAGGACUUUUACUUUGAAAAAAUUAGAGUGUUCAAAGCAGGCCUUUGCUCGAAUACGUUAGCAUGGAAUAAUAGAAUAGGACGUGCGGUCCUAUUUUGUUGGUUUCUAGGACCGCCGUAAUGAUUAAUAGGGACAGUCGGGGGCAUCAGUAUUCAAUUGUCAGAGGUGAAAUUCUUGGAUUUAUUGAAGACUAACUACUGCGAAAGCAUUUGCCAAGGAUGUUUUC
rnacentral:rRNA from 1 species